GACGAACGCUGGCGGCGUGCUUAACACAUGCAAGUCGAACGGAAAGGCCCUGCUUUUGUGGGGUGCUCGAGUGGCGAACGGGUGAGUAACACGUGAGUAACCUGCCCUUGACUUUGGGAUAACUUCAGGAAACUGGGGCUAAUACCGGAUAGGAGCUCCUGCUGCAUGGUGGGGGUUGGAAAGUUUCGGCGGUGGGGGCUGGACUCGCGGCUUAUGAGCUUGUUGGUGGGGUAGUGGCUUACCAAGGCUUUGACGGGUAGCCGGCCUGAGAGGGUGACCGGCCACAUUGGGCCUGAGAUACGGCCCAGACUCCUACCGGAGGCAGCAGUGGGGAAUAUUGCGCAAUGGGCGGAAGCCUGAUGCAGCAACGCCCCGUGCGGGAUGACGGCCUUCGGGUUGUAAACCGCUUUCGCCUGUGACGAAGCGUGAGUGACGGUAAUGGGUAAAGAAGCACCGGCUAACUACGUG
rnacentral:rRNA from 1 species